UGGCGUAACACGUAUGCAACCUACCUUAUACUGAGGGAUAGCCUUUCGAAAGGGAGAUUAAUACCUCAUAACACAUUGAACUGGCAUCAGUUUAUUGUUAAAGAUUUAUUGGUAUAAGAUGGGCAUGCGUCCAAUUAGUUAGUUGGCGAGGUAACGGCUCACCAAGACGAUGAUUGGUAGGGGAACUGAGAGGUUAAUCCCCCACACUGGCACUGAGAUACGGGCCAGACUCCUACGGGAGGCAGCAGUAGGGAAUAUUGGGCAAUGGAGGCAACUCUGACCCAGCCAUGCCGCGUGCAGGAAGAAGGCGUUAUGCGUUGUAAACUGCUUUUAUAUAGGAAGAAAUAGACCUUGCGAGGUAAGUUGACGGUACUAUAUGAAUAAGCACCGGCUAACUCCGCGCCAGCAGCCGCGGUAAUACGGAGGGUGCAAGCGUUGUCCGGAUUUAUUGGGUUUAAAGGGUGCGUAGGCGGUUUAUUAAGUCAGUGGUGAAAGACGGUCGCUCAACGAUUGCAGUGCCAUUGAUACUGGUAGACUUGAGUGGGAUUGAGGUAGCUGGAAUGGAUAGUGUAGCGGUGAAAUGCAUAGAUAUUAUCCAGAACACCAAUUGCGUAGGCAAGUUACUAAGUCUCAACUGACGCUGAGGCACGAAAGU
rnacentral:rRNA from 1 species